rnacentral:rRNA from 1 species
AGAGAGAGACAUGCGCGCAUAUCAAUAAGCGGAGGAAAAGAAACUAACAAGGAUUCCCCUAGUAACGGCGAGUGAAGCGGGAAGAGCUCAAAUUUGAAAUCUUAAAGGGUUUCCCUUUACGAAUUGUAGUUUAAAGAAGUGUUUUCUGUUGAGGUUUUGGUAAAAGUUCUUUGGAAUAGGACAUCAUAGAGGGUGAGAAUCCCGUAUUUGACCUUUACUUUCAACUUUGUGAUACACUUUCAAAGAGUCGGAUUGUUUGGGAAUGCAGUCCAAAAUGGGUGGUAAAUUUCAUCUAAAGCUAAAUAUUGGUGAGAGACCGAUAGCGAACAAGUACCGUGAGGGAAAGAUGAAAAGAACUUUGAAAAGAGAGUUAAACAGUACGUGAAAUUGUCAAAAGGGAAGCGUUUGACACCAGUGUUGUUUUUCUGAAAAUCAAUUAAAGAACUGUUUAUGCUAAGUUGUUUAGACUUUAUCAGCUAACUGUUUAGUUUUGAGCUUUUCUUUAAUGCACUUUUCAGUUAACAAGUCAACAUCAAUUUCUUUUGCUGUAAAAAAGCUUGAGGAAGGUGGCUUGAGAUUCGUCUUAAGUGUUUAUAGCCUCUUGCCUAUGCAGUCGGAGAGAUUGAGGUCUGCAGCGUAGAUCCUUCGGGGCUAAAUGCAUUUGUGCUAAGUUAUAGCAUUUUAUAGACAACUUGUUGACUAUGAUUUGUCUUGUAGCUUACUCGCUUAUGUUAUUUUACCUACGCUUAGGAUGUUGACGCAUGAGAUAUACGC